rnacentral:rRNA from 1 species
UAAGGAAUAUUGGACAAUGGAGGCAACUCUGAUCCAGCCAUGCCGCGUGAAGGAAUAAGGCCCUAUGGGUUGUAAACUUCUUUUAGACGGGACAAAACCCCUUUACGUGUAAAGGGUUGAUGGUACUGUCAGAAUAAGCAUCGGCUAACUUCGUGCCAGCAGCCGCGGUAAUACGAAGGAUGCAAGCGUUACCCGGAAUUAUUGGGUUUAAAGGGUGCGUAGGCGGACUAAUAAGUCAGUGGUGAAAGCCUGCAGCUUAACUGCAGAAUUGCCAUUGAUACUGUUAGUCUUGAGUACAGUUGAGGUAGGCGGAAUGUGUCAUGUAGCGGUGAAAUGCGUAGAUAUGACACAGAACACCGAUUGCGAAGGCAGCUUGCUAAGCUGUAACUGACGCUGAGGCACGAAAGCGUGGGGAGCAAACA